rnacentral:rRNA from 1 species
AUUGAACGCUGGCGGCAGGCCUAACACAUGCAAGUCGAAUGGUAACAGGAAACUGCUUGCUGUUUCGCUGACGAGUGGCGGACGGGUGAGUAAUGUCUGGGAAACUGCCUGAUGGAGGGGGAUAACUACUGGAAACGGUAGCUAAUACCGCAUAACGUCGCAAGACCAAAGAGGGGGAGCUUCGGGCCUCUUGCCAUCAGAUGUGCCCAGAUGGGAUUAGCUAGUAGGUGGGGUAACGGCUCACCUAGGCGACGAUCCCUAGAUGAUCUGAGAGGAUGACCAGCCACACUGGAACUGAGACACGGUCCAGACUCCUACGGGAGGCAGCAGUGGGGAAUAUUGCACAAUGGGCGCAAGCCUGAUGCAGCCAUGCCGCGUGUAUGAAGAAGGCCUUCGGGUUGUAAAGUACUUUCAGCGGGGAGGAAGGGAGUAAAGUUAAUACCUUUGCUCAUUGACGUUACCCGCAGAAGAAGCACCGGCUAACUCCGUG